rnacentral:lncRNA from 1 species
AAAUUUUGGGGUGUUACAGUUUGUACCUUACUUGUUAUCCUGCAUAACUUUAGUUCUCAUAAAUUAUUAAGAUAUUAAUGUUCACAGUGCAUCAAGAGGUUUAAAUAUGUAUUUUCAUCAUAGCUGUAUUAGUUCUCCCCCUUUUUGUCAGACUCAAAAAGACAUAGAAAAUGAAGCGAGAAACAGAUAUUCAUAUAUAUGAGAAAAACUGGUACAGAU